rnacentral:lncRNA from 1 species
CUCAUACCAUGUCUAGGUUGUUUUUCUGCACCCCACACUUGACUACUUGCUUUAUAGGUUGGACUUCUUUUACCUUUUGCACCUUCGUAUUCCAGUGUAUACACAACACUUUUGUUUAUUUUAUUUUUGGGUUCGCAUUCCAUUCUGUUUUCUGGACCCAAGCUUUCACUGCACACACCCCACUUUCCUUUAUUUUAUUUUGGAAUUGGGCGGCGCUGUCUACAUUCCUCCACCACGUGUAUACUUGUUUACACUCCGUCCCCAUUUAUUUCACUUUUAGCUUUUACUCAUGCACCGCAAUGUUUUUUAUUCCAUCUUUAUCCUUCUUUC